rnacentral:rRNA from 1 species
GUGCCAGACUCCUACGGGAGGCAGCAGUGGGGAAUAUUGCACAAUGGGGGAAACCCUGAUGCAGCGACGCCGCGUGAGCGAUGAAGUAUUUCGGUAUGUAAAGCUCUAUCAGCAGGGAAGAAGAUGACGGUACCUGACUAAGAAGCCCUGGCUAACUACGUGCCAGCAGCCGCGGUAAUACGUAGGGGGCAAGCGUUAUCCGGAUUUACUGGGUGUAAAGGGAGCGUAGACGGCGAUGCAAGCCAGAUGUGAAAGCCCGGGGCCCAACCCCGGGACUGCAUUGGAAACUGCCGGGCUGGAGUGCCGGAGGGGCAGGCGGAAUUCCUGGUGUAGCGGUGAAAUGCGCAGAUAUCAGGAAGAACACCGGUGGCGCAGGCGGCCUGCUGGACGGCAACUGACGCUGAGGCUCGAAAGCGUGGGGAGCAAACAGGAUUAGAUACCCGGGUACG